CCCGGCGGCCAUAGGAGCAGGGUCACACCCGUUCCCAUUCCGAACACGGAAGUUAAGCCUGCUACCGCCGAUGGUACUGUGAGGGCAACCUCAUGGGAGAGUAGGUCACUGCCGGGA
rnacentral:rRNA from 1 species